rnacentral:rRNA from 1 species
GACGAACGCUGGCGGCGUGCUUAACACAUGCAAGUCGAACGGAAAGGCCCUGCUUGCCGGGUACUCGAGUGGCGAACGGGUGAGUAACACGUGGGUGAUCUGCCCUGCACUUCGGGAUAAGCCUGGUAAACUGGGUCUAAUACCGGAUAGGAGCCAUUUUUAGUGUGAUGGUUGGAAAGUUUUUUCGGUGUAGGAUGAGCUCGCGGCCUAUCAGCUUGUUGGUGGGGUAAUGGCCUACCAAGGCGGCGACGGGUAGCCGGCCUGAGAGGGUGGACGGCCACAUUGGGACUGAGGGACGGCCCAGACUCCGACGGGAGGCAGCAGGGGGGAAGAUUGCACAAGGGGCGCAAGCCGGAUGCAGCGACGCCGCGGGGGGGAGGACGGCCUUAGGGUUGGAAACGCAUUUCGCUAGGGACGAAGCUUUUUGUGACGGUACCUAGAGAAGAAGCACCGGCUAACUACGUG